rnacentral:lncRNA from 1 species
CUUAACAUAGCGCUAAAUUUUUGAUACAAAAGGCAUAGUAUUCUAGUUAGUGAGAUUGUAAGUUCCCCUCUUUCAAUGUAUUAUGUGGAAACUUGACCUUUUUUCCUUCCUUUGGAAGAUGUCUUGGUUCAAGGAUCCAUGCUUGUGAUAAGUGGGUUGAGUGUUCUCCAAAGAAUGACUUAAACAAAAAAAGAAAAAGAAAUACUAACUUCUAACUCAUUAACAACUAACAUUUAAUUUCAAGUAUUUUACUUUUAAU